rnacentral:sRNA from 2 species
AUAUUGCAUGUGUCGUGUAGGUGAGAACCUGCGCUCAGGUUUGAGCCGAGCGAAGCGAGACAGCAACGCGCUAGCGUUGACCCCGAAGGGGCGAGGCCAAAGGCCGAGUCAUCCUGCACGACCCACCA